GUCGAUCUGGUUUGAACCGAUUCGCCAUGUGGGUUCAAAUGAAAGAGGCACGCUGCUCUGAUAAAGCAGAUGCUACUAAUUACAAGAAACUUGCCUCGGGAGUAAGAAAAAAGCUUGGUACCAGUCACGGUGGAUUGCGUUGAAUGGAUGAGGCGUCCCGUCGGUUUAAAUUGGAGUUCAAGAGUCGGGAAGCGAAAGGAAAAAUCUUGUGAAGAUUCAAAGGCUCGGCUCCGCAGACUUGAACUGAAACGUCUUCGUCUCUAAAGGCAGAAGAUGGAAGCUGUGGAAUGAGAUGUUUUUAGUUCAACAACUAAAAAUCACUCCCAGGUGGGACAGUCUUGUUGCAGACAAACAAGCUCAACAAGUCUUGCUCGGUUCGCAGUUAUAAAAAGGUUGGGGGCCACUCUACUAGAGUAUUGGAAUGCUACGACAAAAGUAGCAUUUGAAAAGUAACUUUUAUUGCAUCUUGUUGCUCAGAUUUUUUUUUUUUUUUUUUUGCAAAAAUAUAUUAAGAUGCUUUAUUUUGUCUGAACAGAACAAUGUUAUUUUUUUCUUUUAGAUAUAAAAACAAUUAUGACUUUCAACCAAACCUUAACCAUGUCAGUAUCUUAUCGUAUUUUUUAGUAGUAGUAUUUUGAGUGAAAACAAUUGGACAAAAUAAUUAUCUCCCAUUUAAGAGUAUUGAUAAAGAAUGUUGUUUUUUUGUUUCUGUAACUAGAUCCUGUUUGAAGGUAACUUUGUUUUUCAGGAUUCAUCAAUAUUUUCUUUCUUUCUGGUUUAGAGACUCCCUUUAUCUGAAAAUAUAAAAAAUAAUCUGUAACCAACUUGAAACCUCAAAAUGCUUUGGUUGGUUUAAUUAUAACUGAAAUAAAACUGAAUAACUUAAAAA